rnacentral:rRNA from 1 species
GACGAACGCUGGCGGCGUGCUUAACACAUGCAAGUCAAGCGGAAAGGCCCCUUCGGGGGUACUCGAGCGGCGAACGGGUGAGUAACACGUGGGUAAUCAACCCCUGACAUCGGGAUACCCCGGGGAAACCCGGAUCAAUACCGGAUAAGGUGCGGAGGCGCAGGCCGCCGUACCAAAGGUAGCUUCGGCUUCCGGUCAGGGACGAGCCCGCGGCCCAUUAGCUUGUUGGUGGGGUAAUGGCCCACCAAGGCGACGAUGGGUAGCGGGUCUGAGAGGACGAUCAGCCACACGGGGACUGAGACACGGCCCGGACUCCUACGGGAGGCAGCAGUGGGGAAUCUUGCGCAAUGGGCGGAAGCCUGACGCAGCAACGCCGCGUGCGGGAAGAAGGCCCUAGGGUCGUAAACCGCUUUCAGGGGGGGCGAAGCUUCCGGGGUUAAUAGCCUACGGGGUGACGGUACUCCCAGAAAAAGGUCCGGCUAACUACGUGCCAGCCGCCGCGGUAA